UGGCCAAGAACUACAUCAAAUCGCUGACGGC
rnacentral:piRNA from 1 species